rnacentral:rRNA from 1 species
GACGAACGCUGGCGGCGUGCCUAAUACAUGCGAGUUGAGCGCGGAAGGCUGUUACGUGUACCAACUGGGUGAGCAGCGCACGGGUGAGUAACGCGUGGGGAAUCUGGCUUUGAGCGGGAGACCACAUUUGGCAACGAAUGCUAAGACCGCAUAACAACUUUAAACACAAGAUUUAGGUUUCAAAGAUGCAAUUCCAUCACUCAAGCAUGAUCCCGCGUUGUAUUAGCUAGUUGGUGAGGUAAAGGCUCACUAAGGCGAUGAUACACAGCCGACCUGAGAGGGUGAUCGGCCACAUUGGGACUGAGACCCGGCCCAACGGCCUGCGGGAGGCAGCAGUAGGGAAUCUUCGGCCAUGGACGAAAGUCUGAGCGAGCAACGCCGGGUGAGUGAAGACGGUCUUCGGGUCGUAAGACUCUGUUGGUAGGGAAGAACGUGGGUGCGAGAGGAACGCUGAUCAAGUGACGGUAACGAAAGAGCAAGGGACGGCUGACUACGUG